AAUUUCUUGGUUCAUCAGUAUAUCACAGGCAGCGGCAAUGCAAACUUCCCCACAAUGCCCCAUCAACAUGCUUUAAUCCUGACCUGAAUAGGCCACCUCUAGGAUUUAGAGGGUGGUU
rnacentral:sRNA from 1 species